GGACAGCUUAGUCCCAUGCAGCUCGGUGCUGAAUGGGGAAACUGAGGCAUAGUAAGACCAUCUUGGGAUGAUCAAGGCAAGGGCACGGGGUGAAUGGUAACACAGCUGUGGGGCUCAAGGAAGAGAGGCCUGAAAGGAGAGACUUGUGAGCUACACAAUGAAAGGCCACCACCACAAGCAACAAUACGAGCUUUCCCAUCUAUCCCAGAAGAGUCGGUGCCUGAAGAGCAGACUGUCUGGGUGAAGGAGACUAAGAAGACAGCAGGAAAUACGUCUUGAUAAUGUCACACCAGAGGCAGGCAAGUGUGACAAGAAGGCAGGACCACAGGGCGGUAGCAUCACGCAGGGAGGCAGGGGGCCAGUCUGCCGGCUCCAGAGUGGUCGGGCCUGAGAGAUGGCCAUGGCCACGGCCACAGCCCUGUGCCAGGAACUGGGAACAGCGUGGGAAAAAGAACAGCUGUGGUCUGGCCCUUGUGGAAACGUACGUCUUAAGAAGGGAAACAAAAA